AGCGAACGCUGGCGGCAGGCUUAACACAUGCAAGUCGAACGAAGCCUUCGGGCUUAGUGGCGGACGGGUGAAUAACACGUGGGAACGUACCUUUUGGUUCGGGAUAACACAGGGAAACUUGUGCUAAUACCGAAUGUGCCCUUAGGGGGAAAGAUUUAUCGCCAUUAGAGCGGCCCGCGUUAGAUUAGCUAGUUGGUGGGGUAAAGGCCCACCAAGGCUACGAUCUAUAGCUGGUCUGAGAGGAUGAUCGGCCACACUGGGACUGAGACACGGCCCAGACUCCUACGGGAGGCAGCAGUGGGGAAUCUUGCGCAAUGGCCGAAAGACUGACGCAGCCAUGCCGCGUGAAUGAUGAAGGUCUUAGGAUUGUAAAAUUCUUUUACCAGGGACGAUAAUGACGGUACCUGGAGAAAAAGCUCCGGCUAACUUCGUGCCAGCCGCCGCUGUAAAAC
rnacentral:rRNA from 1 species